GAUGAACGCUGGCGGCGUGCCUAAUACAUGCAAGUCGAGCGAACAGACGAGGAGCUUGCUCCUCUUACGUUAGCGGCGGACGGGUGAGUAACACGUGGAUAACCUACCUAUAAGACUGGGAUAACUUCGGGAAACCGGAGCUAAUACCGGAUAAUAUAUUGAACCGCAUGGUUCAAUAGUGAAAGACGGUUUUGCUGUCCCUUAUAGAUGGAUCCGCGCCGCAUUAGCUAGUUGGUAAGUUAACGGCUUACCAAGGCAACGAUGCGUAGCCGACCUGAGAGGGUGAUCGGCCACACUGGAACUGAGACACGGUCCAGACUCCUACGGGAGGCAGCAGUAGGGAAUCUUCCGCAAUGGGCGAAAGCCUGACGGAGCAACGCCGCGUGAGUGAUGAAGGUCUUCGGAUCGUAAAACUCUGUUAUUAGGGAAGAACAAAUGUGUAAGUAACUAUGCACGUCUUGACGGUACCUAAUCAGAAAGCCACGGCUAACUACGUG
rnacentral:rRNA from 1 species